rnacentral:rRNA from 1 species
UACGGAGGGUGCAAGCGUUGUUCGGAAUUAUUGGGCGUAAAGGGCGCGUAGGCGGGUGUGAAAGUCGAUUGUGAAAGCCCCGGGCUUAACCUGGGAAUUGCAGUCGAUACUCCACAUCUUGAAUGCUUGAGAGGGUGGUGGAAUUCCUGGUGUAGAAGUGAAAUUCGUAGAUAUCAGGAGGAACACCGGAGGCGAAGGCGGCCACCUGGCAAGACAUUGACGCUGAGGCGCGAAAGUGCGGGGAG